rnacentral:rRNA from 1 species
GAUGAACGCUGGCGGCGUGCCUAAUACAUGUAAGUAGAACGCUGAAGGAGGAGCUUGCUCUUCUGGAUGAGUUGCGAACGGGUGAGUAACGCGUAGGUAACCUGCCUGGUAGCGGGGGAUAACUAUUGGAAACGAUAGCUAAUACCGCAUGACAACAGUUAUUGCAUGAUAACUGUUUAAAAGGGGCAACUGCUCCACUACCAGAUGGACCUGCGUUGUAUUAGCUAGUUGGUGAGGUAACGGCUCACCAAGGCGACGAUACAUAGCCGACCUGAGAGGGUGAUCGGCCACACUGGGACUGAGACACGGCCCAGACUCCUACGGGAGGCAGCAGUAGGGAAUCUUCGGCAAUGGACGGAAGUCUGACCGAGCAACGCCGCGUGAGUGAAGAAGGUUUUCGGAUCGUAAAGCUCUGUUGUAAGAGAAGAACGAGUGUGAGAGUGGAAAGUUCACACUGUGACGGUAUCUUACCAGAAAGGGACGGCUAACUACGUG